UACGAAGGGGGCUAGCGUUGCUCGGAUUUACUGGGCGUAAAGGGCGCGUAGGCGGCAAUUCAAGUCAUCUGUGAAAUCUCCGGGCUUAACCCGGAACGGUCAGAUGAUACUGCUUUGCUAGAGUGCGGAAGGGGCAAUCGGAAUUCUCGGUGUAGCGGUGAAAUGCGUAGAUAUCGAGAGGAACACCAGAGGUGAAGACGGGUUGCUGGGCCGACACUGACGCUGAUAGCGCGAAAGCCAGGGGAGCAAACGGG
rnacentral:rRNA from 1 species